rnacentral:tRNA from 1 species
GGAGGGGUUCCCGAGCGGUCAAAGGGAUCAGACUGUAAAUCUGACGGCUCAGCCUUCGCAGGUUCGAAUCCUGCUCCCUCCA